UACGGAGGGUGCGAGCGUUGUCCGGAAUCACUGGGCGUAAAGGGCGCGUAGGUGGCGACCCAAGUCCGUGGUGAAAGCUCGUCGCUUAACGACGAGUCGGCCACGGAGACUGGGUGGCUUGAGCACUGUAGGGGCUAAUGGAAUUCCGGGUGUAGCGGUGGAAUGCGUAGAGAUCCGGAAGAACACCAGUGGCGAAGGCGGUUAGCUGGGCAGUUGCUGACACUGAUGCGCGCCAGCGUGGGGAGCAAACAGG
rnacentral:rRNA from 1 species